rnacentral:tRNA from 1 species
CAAAAAGUAGCUUAAAACAAAGCAUUUAACUUACAAUUAAACCAUGUUAGAACCUUUUUGCG